rnacentral:rRNA from 1 species
GUUUGAUUAUGGCUCAGGAUGAACGCUAGCGGCAGGCUAACACAUGCAAGUCGAGGGGCAUCGGGAGUAGCAAUACUUGCCGGCGACCGGCGCAAGGGUGCGUAACGCGUGAGCAACAUGCCCGUAUCAGGGGGAUAAUCCAUGGAAACGUGGUCUAAUACCCCAUAGUAAUUAUGUAAGGCAUCUUAUAUAAUUUAAAGCUUUGGUGGAUACGGAUUGGCUCGCGUGACAUUAGCUAGAUGGUAAGGUAACGGCUUACCAUGGCUACGAUGUCUAGGGGUUCUGAGAGGAAGGUCCCCCACACUGGAACUGAGACACGGUCCAGACUCCUACGGGAGGCAGCAGUGAGGAAUAUUGGACAAUGGAUGGAAAUCUGAUCCAGCCAUGCCGCGUGCAGGAAGACGGCCCUAUGGGUUGUAAACCGCUUUUGUAUGGGAGCAAUAAGGGCUACGCGUAGUCCGAUGAGAGUACCAUACGAAUAAGCACCGGCUAACUCCGUGCCAGCCGCCGC